rnacentral:rRNA from 1 species
AACGAACGCUGGCGGCAUGCCUAACACAUGCAAGUCGAACGAGACCUUCGGGUCUAGUGGCGCACGGGUGCGUAACGCGUGGGAACCUGCCCUUAGGUUCGGAAUAACUCCCCGAAAGGGGUGCUAAUAUCGGAUAAUGUCUUCGGACCAAAGAUUUAUCGCCUUUGGAUGGGCCCGCGUUGGAUUAGCUAGUUGGUAGGGUAAAAGCCUACCAAGGCGACGAUCCAUAGCUGGUCUGAGAGGAUGAUCAGUCACACUGGGACUGAGACACGGCCCAGACUCCUACGGGAGGCAGCAGUGGGGAAUAUUGGACAAUGGGCGAAAGCCUGAUCCAGCAAUGCCGCGUGAGUGAUGAAGGCCUUAGGGUUGUAAAGCUCUUUUACCCGGGAUGAUAAUGACAGUACCGGGAGAAUAAGCUCCGGCUAACUCCGUG